rnacentral:rRNA from 1 species
AUUGAACGCUGGCGGCAUGCCUUACACAUGCAAGUCGAACGGCGAGCCACGGGAGCAAUCCUGGUGGCGAGUGGCGAACGGGGUGAGUAAUAUAUCGGAACGUGCCCAGUCGUGGGGAUAACGUAGCGAAAGCUACGCUAAUACCGCAUACGAUCUAUGGAUGAAAGCGGGGGAUCGCAAGACCUCGCGCGAUUGGAGCGGCCGAUAUCAGAUUAGGUAGUUGGUGAGGUAAAGGCUCACCAAGCCGACGAUCUGUAGCUGGUCUGAGAGGACGACCAGCCACACUGGGACUGAGACACGGCCCAGACUCCUACGGGAGGCAGCAGUGGGGAAUUUUGGACAAUGGGCGCAAGCCUGAUCCAGCAAUGCCGCGUGCAGGA